rnacentral:misc_RNA from 1 species
AACGCACAUUGCGCCCUUUGGCAUUCCGAAGGGCAUGCCUGUUCGAGCGUCAUUUCAACCGUCCAGCCAUGCUGGGUGUUGGGCGUCUUGUCCCGCCUCGUGCGCGGACUCGCCUCAAAACAAUCGGCGUCUGUAUGUGGCCCUGAUGCGUAGCACAACUCGCACAGUCAGGUCCGCGUGCGGGCAGCCGCCAAAGCACCUUUUUUUUUCUGAUUGACCUCGGAUCAGGUAGGGAUACCCGCUGAACUUAA